rnacentral:tRNA from 1 species
AAGGGAGACCUAAUUCCGGUAGGAGACGAAAAAAAAGUAGUCCCAACCAAGAAUCAAUCCCAAAAGGUCGGAACGAGGUAUGAGGCUUUCAAACUAGGUUCUGGGUUCAUAAAAGACCUGAAUCAGGAACAAGGGCUAUUAGCUCAGGUGGUUAGAGCGCACCCCUGGUAAGGGUGAGGUCCCUGGUUCGAGUCCAGGAUGGCCCACCUGCACAGGUGGCAAAAACAAGAGAAGCUCCGAAUCAGCACCUUAUCUUAUAUACAUAUAUAAGAGAGAAUGCUGGCUCUGAGUACAGAGUCCAGAGGAACCUUGAAAACUGCAUAGAGCUAGGUGAAAAAGCCAAAAAAGAAGACCGCAA